rnacentral:rRNA from 1 species
AUUGAACGCUGGCGGCAGGCUUAACACAUGCCAGUCGAGCGGUAGCACAGGGGAGCUUGCUCCCUGGGUGACGAGCGGCGGACGGGUGAGUAAUGUCUGGGAAACUGCCUGAUGGAGGGGGAUAACUACUGGAAACGGUAGCUAAUACCGCAUAACGUCGCAAGACCAAAGAGGGGGACCUUCGGGCCUCUUGCCAUCAGAUGUGCCCAGAUGGGAUUAGCUAGAAGGUGGGGUAAUGGCUCACCUAGGCGACGAUCCCUAGCUGGUCUGAGAGGAUGACCAGCCACACUGGAACUGAGACACGGUCCAGACUCCUACGGGAGGCAGCAGUGGGGAAUAUUGCACAAUGGGCGCAAGCCUGAUGCAGCCAUGCCGCGUGUGUGAAGAAGGCCUUCGGGUUGUAAAGCACUUUCAGCGAGGAGGAAGGUGGUGAGCUUAAUACGUUCAUCAAUUGACGUUACUCGCAGAAGAAGCACCGGCUAACUCCGUG